CAACCGUAAAACAGAAGUAACGAAUAAGUUAUCUGUAACAAGGAUUUGAAUUAUGAACCUAUAACUUGCGAGACUUAAUUAGAAACAUACUAUAUUGCAAAUUCCGGAGGUGUAAUAAUGUUAACACAGAACCUCCCUGGCGCCCUGUUACCGGUUAAUCGGAAAAAAAAUCCCGGAGGUACUGUCGAAUAAUCUAUCCAGGAUCCAGAUAAAACCAGUUGAAGAGUUUUCUGUAGAACAUAAUCGAACAAAAUGCCGAAAAGUUAAAUGUAUGUAUUACGCACAUUGAUGAAAUAAAAUUAUUUCACGGAAUUGGCCAUUUUUUCAUGCAGCGCAAUAAGACCAGUAAAGAAACAAAUUGCGUGCUGGAAAUAAAUGAUCGUUUU